CCCCGCCGAUUUUCCCGACCUGGCCUGGAGGGAGUCCUGGGAGUAACGAACUCGGGGACCAGGGUACCGAGGACAGGCGCGACCCUGCCGCGCCCCCUACAACUCGGCCCGGACGGGCAGGAGCCCCGCCAAGGAAAGUAAUAAUACCUGUCAGAUUAUUAUUGUGAAGAUUGAGAAUGCAUGCAAAGCACAUUGUAGAAUGGCUGGCAGCUUUAUGAGAAUGAUCCAGGUGCUCAGCUAGAAAUAAAAGACAGAAAGAACGAGGUCCAUCAAGGACCAUCCAGGACCCCACAAUGCCCAGUGUUAGAAUCAACAUAGAGUUGGGCUAAUGUCCGAAAAGAAAAGUAAAACCAAAGAGGAUAACAACUUUCUUCAACAACAGCAAAAUAAAGAAGCCCUACAACUGAGUUUAUGAAUCGAAAACCUUAUUGUUUUGUAUUGUUCUCUACCUUCUUUCAUAAUCGACAUCCACAGUAAUUAAGAUUUAAGAAAUUAGACUGACAUGGAUUUAAAUGCUUAAUGAUCAGUAGUAGCCUUUAUUUCUGCCACAUGGAAGAUGCUGCUUUGUUAUUCCCUUGUGUUGGUUAUUAUUUCUUGAGCUGUGCUUGUUUUUUAGGUUAGUAGU